rnacentral:rRNA from 1 species
CUGGAGAGUGGCGCACGGGUGAGUAACGCGUGGGGACCUACCUCUUAGUGGGGGAUAACGGUUGGAAACGACCGCUAAUACCGCAUACGCCCUUCGGGGGAAAGAUUUAUCGCUAAGAGAUGGACCCGCGUUGGAUUAGAUAGUUGGUGAGGUAACGGCUCACCAAGUCAGCGAUCCAUAGCUGGUUUGAGAGGAUGAUCAGCCACACUGGGACUGAGACACGGCCCAGACUCCUACGGGAGGCAGCAGUGGGGAAUAUUGGACAAUGGGGGCAACCCUGAUCCAGCCAUGCCGCGUGAGUGAAGAAGGCCUUCGGGUUGUAAAGCUCUUUCAGAUGCGAAGAUGAUGACGGUAACAUCAGAAGAAGCCCCGGCUAAUUUCGUGCCAGCAGCCGCGGUAAUACGAAAGGGGCUAGCGUUGUUCGGAUUUACUGG